CCAAGCCCUGAUGCUAGCAAUCUCCAGCGUGAGGGAUCGACGGCCUUUCGGGUUGUAAACCUCUUUUAGCAAGGAAGAAGCGAAAGUGACCGGUACUUGCAGAAAAAGCGCCGGCUAACUACGUGCCAGCAGCCGCGGUAAUACGUAGGGCGCAAGCGUUAUCCGGAAUUAUUGGGCGUAAAGAGCUCGUAGGCGGUUUGUCGCGUCUGCUGUGAAAACUGGAGGCUCAACCUCCAGCCUGCAGUGGGUACGGGCAGACUAGAGUGCGGUAGGGGAGAUUGGAAUUCCUGGUGUAGCGGUGGAAUGCGCAGAUAUCAGGAGGAACACCGAUGGCGAAGGCAGAUCUCUGGGCCGUAACUGACGCUGAGGAGCGAAAGGGUGGGGAGCAAACAGGCUUAGAUACCCUGGUAGUCCACCCCGUAAACGUUGGGAACUAGUUGUGGGGUCCAUUCCACGGAUUCCGUGACGCAGCUAACGCAUUAAGUUCCCCGCCUGGGGAGUACGGCCGCAAGGCUAAAACUCAAAGGAAUUGACGGGGACCCGCACAAGCGGCGGAGCAUGCGGAUUAAUUCGAUGCAACGCGAAGAACCUUACCAAGGCUUGACAUAUACGAGAACGGGCUAGAAAUAGUCAACUCUUUGGACACUCGUAAACAGGUGGUGCAUGGUUGUCGUCAGCUCGUGUCGUGAGAUGUUGGGUUAAGUCCCGCAACGAGCGCAACCCUCGUUCUAUGUUGCCAGCACGUAAUGGUGGGAACUCAUGGGAUACUGCCGGGGUCAACUCGGAGGAAGGUGGGGAUGACGUCAAAUCAUCAUGCCCCUUAUGUCUUGGGCUUCACGCAUGCUACAAUGGCCGGUACAAAGGGCUGCAAUACCGUAAGGUGGAGCGAAUCCCAAAAAGCCGGUCCCAGUUCGGAUUGAGGUCUGCAACUCGACCUCAUGAAGUUGGAGUCGCUAGUAAUCGCAGAUCAGC
rnacentral:rRNA from 1 species